AUUGAACGCUGGCGGCAGGCCUAACACAUGCAAGUCGAGCGGAGCGGCGGACGGGUGCGUAAUGCCUAGGAAUCUGCCUGGUAGUGGGGGAUAACGUCCGGAAACGGGCGCUAAUACCGCAUACUAUCAGAUGAGCCUAGGUCGGAUUAGCUAGUGGGUGGGGUAAAGGCCUACCAAGGCGACGAUCCUGAACUGGUCUGAGAGGAUAAUGAGUCACACGGGAAUUGAGACACGGUCCAGCCUCUUACGGGAGGCAGCAUUGGGGAAUAUUGGACAAUGGGCGAAAGCCGGAUCCAGCCAUGCGGGGUGUUUGAGGAAGGUCUUCGGAUUGUAAAGCCCUUUAAGUUGGGAGGCGUUACCAACAGAGUAAGCACCGGCUAACUUCGUGCCAGCAGCCGCGGUAAUAC
rnacentral:rRNA from 1 species